rnacentral:rRNA from 1 species
CAGCCGCCGCGGUAAUACGUAGGUGGCAAGCGUUGUCCGGAAUUAUUGGGCGUAAAGCGCGCGCAGGCGGAUCAGUUAGUCUGUCUUAAAAGUUCGGGGCGUAACCCCGUGAGGGGAUGGAAACUGCUGAUCUAGAGUAUCGGAGAGGAAAGUGGAAUUCCUAGUGUAGCGGUGAAAUGCGUAGAUAUUAGGAAGAACACCAGUGGCGAAGGCGACUUUCUGGACGAAAACUGACGCUGAGGCGCGAAAGCCAGGGGAGCGAACGGGAUUAGAUACCCCAGUAGUCCCUGUCUCUUAUACA